AACGAACGCUGGCGGCAGACUUAACACAUGCAAGUCGAGCGCCCCGCAAGGGGAGCGGCAGACGGGUGAGUAACGCGUGGGAAUCUACCCAUCUCUACGGAAUAACGCAUGGAAACGUGUGCUAAUACCGUAUACGUCCUUCGGGAGAAGGAUUUAUCGGAGAUGGAUGAGCCCGCGUUGGAUUAGCUAGUUGGUGGGGUAAAGGCCUACCAAGGCGACGAUCCAUAGCUGGUCUGCGAGGAUGAUCAGCCACACUGGGACUGAGACACGGCCCAGACUCCUACGGGAGGAAGCGGUGGGGAAUAUUGGACAAUGGGCGCAAGCCUGAUCCAGCCAUGCCGCGCGAGUGAUGAAGGCCCUAGGGUUGUAAAGCUCUUUCACCGGUGAAGAUAAUGACGGUAACCGGAGAAGAAGCCCCGGCUAACUUCGUGCCAGCCGCCGCGGUAAUAC
rnacentral:rRNA from 1 species